rnacentral:rRNA from 1 species
AUCGAACGCUGGCGGAAUGCUUUACACAUGCAAGUCGAACGGCAGCACGGGGGCAACCCUGGUGGCGAGUGGCGAACGGGUGAGUAAUACAUCGGAACGUGCCCAGUCGUGGGGGAUAACGUAGCGAAAGUUACGCUAAUACCGCAUACGAUCUACGGAUGAAAGCGGGGGACCGUAAGGCCUCGCGCGAUUGGAGCGGCCGGUGUCAGAUCAGGUAGUUGGUGAGGUAAAGGCUCACCAAGCCGACGAUCUGUAGCUGGUCUGAGAGGACGACUAGCCACACUGGGACGGAGACACAGCCCAGACGCCUGCGGAAGGCAGCAGUGAGGAAUUUUGGACAAUGGGCGCAAGCCUGAUCCAGCCAUUCCGCGUGCAGGACGAAGGCCUUCGGGUUGUAAACUGCUUUUGUACGGAACGAAAAGGCUCUGGUUAAUACCUGGGGCUCAUGACGGUACCGUAAGAAUAAGCACCGGCUAACUACGUGCCAGCCGCCGCGGUAA